rnacentral:rRNA from 1 species
AGCUCGAUUAUGUCGAUUGAACGCUGGCGGGAUGCUUUACACAUGCAAGUCGAACGGCAGCACGGACUUCGGUCUGGUAGCAGAGGCGGUGAACGGGUGAGCAGAAUAAUGGAACGUGCCUAGUAGCGGGGAGAAUUAGAUGGUGCUGCAGCUAAUACCGCACACGCCCUCUGGGGAAAGCGGGGGACCUUCGGAAGCCCUUGCACCAUUAGAGCGGCCGAUAUCGGAUUAGCUAGUUGCGGGGUAACGGCUCAAGGCGACGAUCCGUAGCUGGUCGAGAGGAUAUAACCAGCCACACUGGGACUGAGACACGGCCCAGACUCCCGGCGGGAGGCAGCAGUGGGGAAUUUUGGACAAUGGGGAAACCCUGAUCCAGCUAUCCCGCGUGUGCGAUGAAGGCCUUCAAGGAAGCACUUUGGCAGGAAAGAAACGGCGCACGGGAUAAUACCCGUGCAACUGACGGCACCGCAGAAUAAGCACCGGCUAACUACGUGCCAGCAGCCGCGGUAAUACGUAGGGGUGUAGCGUUAAUCGGAAUUACUAGGCGUAAAGCGUGCGCAGGCGGUUCGGAAAGAAAGAUGUGAAAUCCCAGAGCUUAACUUUGGAACUGCAUUUUUGAACUACCGAGCUAGAUGUACGAGGAGUGUGGAAUUCCGCGUGUAGCAGAAAUGCGUAGAUAUGCGGAGGAACACCGAUGUAGAAGGCAGCCUCCUGGGAUAACACUGACGCUCAUGCACGAAAGCGUGGGAGCAAAGCAGGAUUAGAUACUCCUGGUAGUCCACGCUCGCAAACGAUGUCAACUAGCUGUUGGGGCCUUCUGGCCUCGGUAGCGCAGCUAACGCGUGAAGUUGACCGCCCGGGAGUACGGUCGCAAGAUUAAAACUCAAAGGAAUUGAUUGGGACUCCGCACAAGCGGUGGAUGAUGUGGAUUAAUUCGAUGCAACGCGAAAACCUUACCUACCCUUGACAUGUCUGGAAUCCUGAAGAGAUUUGGGAGUGCUCGCAAGAGAACCGGAACAGGUGCCGGGGUAUGGCUGUCGUCAGCUCGUGUCGUGAGAUGUUGGGUUAAGUCCCCAAACGAGCGCAACCCUUGUCAUUAGUUGCUACGAAAGGGCACUCUAAUGAGACUGCCGGUGACAACCGAUAGAAGGUGGGGAUGACGUCAAGUCCGCGGCUCCCAGGUAGGGCUUCACACGUCAUACAAUGGUCGGGACAGAGGGUUUUAAACCGCGAGGGGGAGCUAAUCCCAGAAACCCGAUCAGUCCGGAUCGUACAGUCUGCAACUCGACUGCGUGAAGUCGGAAUCGCUAUGGGUAAUCGCGGAUCAGUAUGUCGCGGUGAAUACGUUCCCGGAGUCUUGUACACACCGCCCGUCACACCAUGGGAGUGGGUUUUACCAGAAGUAGUUAGCCUAACCGUAAGGAGGGCGAUUACCACGGUAGGAUUCAUGAUCAGUGAAGUCGUAACAAAGGUAA